AGAGUGAACGCUGGCGGUAGGCCUAACACAUGCAAGUCGAACAGCAGCACAGUGGUAGCAAUACCAUGGGUGGCGAGUGGCGGACGGGUGAGGAAUACAUCGGAAUCUACCUUUUCGUGGGGGAUAACGUAGGGAAACUUACGCUAAUACCGCAUACGCCCUUUGGGGGAAAGCCGGGGAUCGCAAGACCUGGCGCGGAUAGAUGAGCCGAUGUCGGAUUAGCUAGUUGGUGAGGUAAUGGCUCACCAAGGCGACGAUCCGUAGCUGGUCUGAGAGGAUGAUCAGCCACACCGGAACUGAGACACGGUCCAGACUCCUACGGGAGGCAGCAGUGGGGAAUAGUUGGACAAUGGGCGACAAGCCUGAUCCAG
rnacentral:rRNA from 1 species